AACGAACGCUGGCGGCAGGCCUAACACAUGCAAGUCGAGCGCACCUUCGGGUGAGCGGCGGACGGGUUAGUAACGCGUGGGAAUGUACCCUUCUCUACGGAAUAGCCAUUGGAAACGAUGAGUAAUACCGUAUACGCCCUUUUGGGGAAAGAUUUAUCGGAGAAGGAUCAGCCCGCGUUAGAUUAGAUAGUUGGUGGGGUAAUGGCCUACCAAGUCUACGAUCUAUAGCUGGUUUUAGAGGAUGAUCAGCAACACUGGGACUGAGACACGGCCCAGACUCCUACGGGAGGCAGCAGUGGGGAAUCUUAGACAAUGGGCGCAAGCCUGAUCUAGCCAUGCCGCGUGAGUGAUGAAGGCCUUAGGGUCGUAAAGCUCUUUCGCCAGGGAUGAUAAUGACAGUACCUGGUAAAGAAACCCCGGCUAACUCCGUGCCAGCAGCCGCGGUAAUACGGAGGGGGUUAGCGUUGUCCGGAAUUACUGGGCGUAAAGCGCACGUAGGCGGAUUAGAAAGUAUGGGGUGAAAUCCCAGGGCUCAACCCUGGAACUGCCUCAUAAACUCCUAGUCUAGAGUUCGAGAGAGGUGAGUGGAAUUCCGAGUGUAGAGGUGAAAUUCGUAGAUAUUCGGAGGAACACCAGUGGCGAAGGCGGCUCACUGGCUCGAUACUGACGCUGAGGUGCGAAAGUGUGGGGAGCAAACAGG
rnacentral:rRNA from 1 species